UGGGGAAUAUUGCACAAUGGGGGAAACCCUGAUGCAGCGACGCCGCGUGAUUUAGAAGGCCUUCGGGUUGUAAAAAUCUUUUGUAUGGGAAGAAAAUGACAGUACCAUACGAAUAAGGACCGGCUAAUUCCGCGCCAGCAGCCGCGGUAAUACGGAAGGUUCGGGCGUUAUCCGGAUUUAUUGGGUUUAAAGGGAGCGUAGGCCGUUUGGUAAGCGUGUUGUGAAAUGUAGGAGCUCAACUUCUAGAUUGCAGCGCGAACUGUCAGACUUGAGUGCGCACAACGUAGGCGGAAUUCAUGGUGUAGCGGUGAAAUGCUUAGAUAUCAUGAAGAACUCCGAUUGCGAAGGCAGCUUACGGGAGCGCAACUGACGCUGAAGCUCGAAGGUGCGGGUAUCGAACAGG
rnacentral:rRNA from 1 species